rnacentral:rRNA from 1 species
GACGAACGCUGGCGGCGUGCUUAACACAUGCAAGUCGAACGGUAAGGCCCUUCGGGGUACACGAGUGGCGAACGGGUGAGUAACACGUGGGUGAUCUGCCCUGCACUUCGGGAUAAGCCUGGGAAACUGGGUCUAAUACCGGAUAGGACCACUGCCUGCAUGGGUGGUGGUGGAAAGCUUUUGCGGUGUGGGAUGGGCCCGCGGCCUAUCAGCCUGUUGGUGGGGUGAUGGCCUACCAUGGCGACGACGGGUAGCCGGCCUGAGAGGGUGACCGGCCACACUGGGACUGGGAGACGGCCCAGACUCCUACGGGAGGCAGCAGUGGGGAAUAUUGCACAAUGGGCGCAAGCCUGAUGCAGCGACGCCGCGUGAGGGAUGACGGCCUUCGGGUUGUAAACCUCUUUCAGCACCGACGAAGCGCAAGUGACGGUAGGUGCAGAAGAAGGACCGGCCAACUACGUGCCAGCCGCCGCAGUAA